GACGAACGCUGGCGGCGUGCUUAACACAUGCAAGUCGAACGGAAAGGCCCUUGUUUUGUGGGGUGCUCGAGUGGCGAACGGGUGAGUAACACGUGAGUAACCUGCCCUUUACUUUGGGAUAACUUUAGGAAACUGGGUCUAAUACCGGAUAGGAGCUCCUUCUGCAUGGUGUGGGUGGGAGAUUUUCGGCGGUUGGGGAUGGACUCGCGGCUUAUCAGCUUGUUGGUGGGGUAGUGGCUUACCAAGGCUUUGACGGGUAGCCGGCCUGAGAGGGUGACCGGCCACAUUGGGACUGAGAUACGGCCCAGACUCCUACGGGAGGCAGCAGUGGGGAAUAUUGCACAAUGGGCGGAAGCCUGAUGCAGCAACGCCGCGUGCGGGAUGACGGCCUUCGGGUUGUAAACCGCUUUCGCCUGGGACGAAGCGUGAGUGACGGUAAUGGGUAAAGAAGCACCGGCUAACUACGUG
rnacentral:rRNA from 1 species